CCCUUAGAUGAUCUGGGCCGCACACGCGCUACACUGAAGGAGGCAGCGUGUACUCCUGGAUCGAAAGAUUUGGGUAACCCGCGAAUCUCCUUCGUGCUAGGGAUUGAGGUUUGCAAUUAUCCUUCAUGAACGAGGAAUUCCCAGUAAGUGCAAGUCAUAAGCUUGCGCUGACUACGUCCCUGCCCUUUGUACACACCGCCCGUCGCUACUACCGAUUGAAUGAUUUAGUGAGGACUUCGGACUGGGACCGAUGCGGCUUUCGGGCUGCGUCGGUAUUCUGGAAAGAUGUCCAAACUGUAUCAUUUAGAGGAAGUAAAAGUCGUAACA
rnacentral:rRNA from 1 species